rnacentral:rRNA from 1 species
AUGGCGUCGAGCUCCAGCCUGAGGAGCUCCUGCUCCUUCCCCAACCUGCUGCUGUGGCUCCUCAACCUCUCCCUGCUCGCCCUCGCCGCCGCCGCGCUCGCCCCGGCGCUGCUGCUCCGGCCCCGCCCGACGCCCUUCGGCUGGGCGCUCCUCUCCGUGCACGCCGCCACGCUGCUCUCGGCGCUCGCGUCCCUACACGCCCACCUCGCCCACCGCCGCCUCUGCUGCCACGCCCACGCAGCCCUCGCGGUCGCCGCGCUCUGCGGCCACGCGCUCGCCUCCUACGCCCUGCUCCUCCGCCGCGACCGGAGCCUCGCGCUGCUCGCGUCGGCGAGGGACCGGAGGGAGCAGGUCGCGCUGGUGCUCCUGGAGGCGGCGCUGCUGCUGGCCAUGUUCCUGGUGCAGGCCGUGGCACUGGCGGCGGCCUGCGCCGUGGACCGGCGGUGGGCGAGGGAACACGAGGCGGCCGAGGCCGAGAAGGCCGCCGCGGCGAGGAAGCGCGAGAGGAAGAUGACGCGCGUGCGGGCUGAGGAGGCGCAGGCCGGCGUGGGGGCAGUGGACGAGGAGAAGGCGACGAGCGGCAAGGUGGUGCUCCGGGGAAACGACGAGGAAUGA